GACUGCUCCUGUGGGCUAAGUGGUUAGAGCAUCUGCCUUAUAUGCAGGAGGUUGUUGGUUCAAACCCUGGCUGAGUCG